CAGUCGCCGCGGUAAUACGUAGGUGGCAAGCGUUGUCCGGAAUUAUUGGGCGUAAAGGGCUCACAGGCGGUUUCUUAAGUCUGAUGUGAAAGCCCCCGGCUCAACCGGGGAGGGUCAUUGGAAACUGGGAAACUUGAGUGCAGAAGGGGAGAGUGGAAUUCCACGUGUAGCGGUGAAAUGCGUAGAGAUGUGGAGGAACACCAGUGGCGAAGGCGACUCUCUGGUCUGUAACUGACGCUGAGGAGCGAAAGCGUGGGGAGCGAACAGGAUUAGAUACCCCCGUAGUCCCUGUCUCUUAUAC
rnacentral:rRNA from 1 species